GACGAACGCUGGCGGCGUGCUUAACACAUGCAAGUCGAGCGGCAAGGCCCUUUCGGGGGUACACGAGCGGCGAACGGGUGAGUAACACGUGGGUGACCUGCCCUCAGCUCUGGGAUAAGCCUGGGAAACCGGGUCUAAUACUGGAUAUGACUCCAUGACGCAUGUUGUGGGGUGGAAAGCCUUGUGCGGCUGAGGAUGGGCCCGGCGGCCUAUCAGCUUGUUGGUGGGGUGGAUGGCCUACCAAGGCGACGACGGGUAGCCGGCCUGAGAGGGCGACCGGCCACACUGGGACUGAGACACGGCCCAGACUCCUACGGGAGGGCAGCAGUGGGGGAAGUCUUGCGCAAUGGGCGAAAGCCUGACGCAGCGACGCCGCGUGAGGGAUG
rnacentral:rRNA from 1 species